UGGGGAAUUUUGGACAAUGGGGGAAACCCUGAUCCAGCCAUCCCGCGUGUGCGAUGAAGGCCUUCGGGUUGUAAAGCACUUUUGGCAUGAAAGAAACGUCAUGGGUUAAUACCCCGUGAAACUGACGGUACCUGCAGAAUAAGCACCGGCUAACUACGUGCCAGCAGCCGCGGUAAUACGUAGGGUGCAAGCGUUAAUCGGAAUUACUGGGCGUAAAGCGUGCGCAGGCGGUUCGGCAAGAAAGAUGUGAAAUCCCAGAGCUCAACUUUGGAACUGCAUUUUUAACUACCGAGCUAGAGUGUGUCAGAGGGAGGUGGAAUUCCGCGUGUAGCAGUGAAAUGCGUAGAUAUGCGGAGGAACACCGAUGGCGAAGGCAGCCUCCUGGGAUAACACUGACGCUCAUGCACGAAAGCGUGGGGAGCAAACAGG
rnacentral:rRNA from 1 species